UACGGAGGGGGCAAGCGUUGUUCGGAAUUACUGGGCGUAAAGGGCGCGCAGGCGGCUGCUCAAGUCAGGCGUGAAAGGCCUGGGCUCAACCCGGGAAUUGCGCUUGAGACUGGGCUGGCUUGAGUGCGGGAGAGGUGAGUGGAAUUCCUAGUGUAGAGGUGAAAUUCGUAGAUAUUCGGAGGAACACCAGUGGCGAAGGCGGCUCACUGGUCCAUUACUGACGCUGAGGUGCGAAAGCGUGGGGAGCAAACAGGG
rnacentral:rRNA from 1 species